AUUGAACGCUGGCGGCAGGCUUAACACAUGCAAGUCGAGCGGGGAAAGGUAGCUUGCUACUGGACCUAGCGGCGGACGGGUGAGUAAUGCUUAGGAAUCUGCCUCUUAGUGGGGGACAACGUUCCGAAAGGAACGCUAAUACCGCAUACGCCCUACGGGGGAAAGCAGGGGAUCUUCGGACCUUGCGCUAAUAGAUGAGCCUAAAUCGGAUUAGCUAGGUGGUGGGGUAAAGGCCUACCAAGGCGACGAUCUGUAGCGGGUCUGAGAGGAUGGUCCGCCAGGCUGGGACUGAGACACGGCCCAGACUCCUACGGGAGGCAGCAGUGGGGAAUAUUGGACAAUGGGGGGAACCCUGAUCCAGCCAUGCCGCGUGUGUGAAUAAGGCCUUUUGGUUGUAAAGCACUUUAAGCGAGGAGGAGGCUACCGAGAUUAAUACUCUUGGAUAGUGGACGUUACUCGCAGAAUAAGCACCGGCUAACUCUGUGCCAGCCGCCGCAGUAAGAC
rnacentral:rRNA from 1 species